rnacentral:rRNA from 1 species
GACGAACGCUGGCGGCGUGCUUAACGCAUGCAAGUCGAACGAGUGGCGAACGGGUGAGUAAUACGUGAGUAACCUGACCUCUUUUUUGGAUAAGCCUUUGAAACGGGGUCUAAUACCGGAUAAAGGGGGAUGGGCUCGUGGACUGGCGGCUUGUUGGUGGGGUGAUGGCCUACCAAGGCGGUGAAGGGUAGGCGGCCUGAGAGGGUGACCGGCGACAGUGGGACUGUGAGACUGCCCAGACUCAUACGUGAGGGAGCAUUGGGGGCUAUGGCACAAUGGGGGAAAGACUUAUGCAGCGUCGCCGCGUGGUGGAUGAAGGCUUUCGUGUUGUAAACCUCGUUCGCUAUCGAACGGGUAGGUGGAGAAGAAGCGCCGGCUAACUCCGUGCCAGCAGCCGCGGUAAUUC